rnacentral:rRNA from 1 species
UCGUGGAGUGAUUCGUCUUGUUAAUUCAGAUAACGAGCGAGACCUUAUCUUGCUAAUUAGGUGGAAGGGGGCUUCGGCUUCCCAUAUAUCAUCGGUCUUGUGCAUACAAGCCAAUAGAUUUUCCAUAAAUCCAACCUUCGGGGAGGAUAACAUCUUAGAGGUACAGCACUCUCAAAAUAGAGUGAGGAAGUGUAAGGCAAUAACA